rnacentral:lncRNA from 1 species
GCUUUUUUUUUUUUUUUUUUUUUUUUUGGUUUUUCAAGACAGGGUUUCUCUGUAUAGCCCUGGCUGUCCUGGAACUCACUCUGUAGACCAGGCUGGCCUCCAACUCAGAAAUCCGCCUGCCUCUGCCUCCAAGUGCUGGGAUUAAAGGCGUGCCCCACCACACCUGUCGAGUCUAUAUUCUUUAUAUUAUCCACCAUUCUGUUUUCCUCUUCAUAAAUUAUAAUAACUUUCAAAAUAGAUGAAUGGAAUACAUGCUAAUCUGCCGGCUCCCUCAAGACUGCGUCUAGGCCAGCACACUAAAGACGAGGGGCUAAAGAUGCUCACAUUGUGGAUAAGGUGUGGAAUGGGAAAUCCUGCUCGCUGUGCAGAUUGUUUGUCCUAAUCUGACCUCCACCUUUGCUGGCCCCUUAUUCCAUGACUUGCACAUGGAUUUCUGGACCUCCUAACCAAAGAUUUCACAUCGUACUUGAAAAGGACUUCCGCCUUCUCUGAGAUGACAUCAGAGUCCCACGAUUAUCCAGCAGUUUAACACCGUGCCUCACGCUGUAAAGCCAUGAAAACCCCUUUACUAACACGGCUGCAGGAGGAGUUCGCUUUUCCCGAGCCCACUGCUGUUGGAUGGUUUUGCAGGUCACGAUUCAUCUGAAAUUAACCGGAGUCAGUUUUCUAAUCACGAGGUCUGGACCUCAUCUGUAAUGAAGCUCUUGGUGAUCCUAUUAAACCGCUUAUUUC